AAUGAACGUUGGCGGCGUGGAUUAGGCAUGCAAGUCGGACGCCCCGCAAGGGAGUGGCGCAAGGGUGAGUAAGGCGACGGUAACCAACCCCGCGGUUGGGCAUAGCCGAGGGAAACCUCGGGUAAUUCCCAGCGACGUCAGCCGUCGGCAUCGACGACUGACCAAAGAUUUAUCGCCGCGGGACGGGCCGUCGUGGUAUUAGCUUGUUGGUGGGGUGACGGCCCACCAAGGCUGCGAUGCCUACCGGGUGUGCGAGCAUGGCCCGGCACACUGGGACUGAGACACUGCCCAGACUCCUACGGGAGGCUGCAGUCGAGAAUCUUCGGCAAUGGGCGCAAGCCUGACCGAGCGACGCCGCGUGGAGGACGAAGGCCUUCGGGUUGUAAACUCCUGUCGAGGGGGAGGAAGCCGCAAGGUUGACCGAUCCCUGGAGGAAGCACGGGCUAAGUUCGUGCCAGCAGCCGCGGUAAAAC
rnacentral:rRNA from 1 species